UUUUAACAUGAGAGUUUGAUCCUAGCUCAGGAUGAACGCUGGCGGCGUGCCUAACACAUGCAAGUCGAACGGACUUACAUUGAAG
rnacentral:rRNA from 1 species